CUUAAUGGACUGGUGUCCUGUCAAGGGUGUGUGUUUGUCUCUUUUAAUGGACUGGUGUCCUGUCAGAGAUGUUAUUUCAGGCGACGAAGGCUCCACAGCUGAAACGUUGUGUUUUCUUUUCAGCCUGGAAUAAGCCAAUCACUUGUUCCUAAGACAACCGUCCUCAUCGGCGGAGGAAGAGGUACCUUGUUUCCACCAUACGCCCUCUGCUUUCAUCAUGCUCUCACAAUGCUUCCCACUGGGGCUGGCAGCAGACUGAGCCACCGGCAGCGCUCACGUGGGCAGUGAGUGCUGCUCCGCCCUCCUCAGCACCCCCCCCACCCCGUAGUAAAUCCCUGCUUUGUCAGCAGCCAGCAGAGCACAUCACAGAGCAGGCGUGUUAAAACCCGCAGGAGAGCGUGGCUAAAUCAGGGGAAAUUCGUGCGAAACGAAGUGGAAACCUUCCCGAUUCACCACGGAGAACUCCACCGCAGGCAGGGACAGCGAAGCCCCUGUGUUCUCCAGAUCCUGGACCUGUGGAGGGUGCUCCGCGCUCGCUCUCUCCCCCGGUGAGGUAACCUCAGGAUUUCCUUGGAUUCAAAGGGGAAUAGUUGCACGCUUGGGAGUUUCACCAUCCGCCUUCGUGGCUGGUGUGUUUCUGUGGUGCCUUGGUGCUCGUACCACAAACUGGUGCAGUACCACCACCACCCUGUAGAUCGAGCAAGUCGGAUCUCAGAAGCUGAGCGAGGCAGGAUCGAGUCAGUGCUGGGACAGCAGGCCACUUCUGUAAGUGGUAUUGGUGGACCAGUAGGUGGCGCUCUUUCCUCUUGGAGCAGAAUUUUAAAACCAAUGGCCCAGUACACUCUGCUGAAGGAGGCAGUGUGCUCCGGAUGAGACACUGAAGUAGCCAGGACCUGACUACUCGAUCACGAACGAGCCCACGGUACUGUAGGAGUGUAGACCCCCCCACAGAGUGUAUGGUGCCUGCAGGGGCAGAAUGGCAGCUGGGCAGCACCCAGGAUGGACCUGCACUCUACCGCCCUCUAGUGUUGGGAUGAAGUGGGGAAGAUGAGGCCCAGACAAAGCAGAAGCACUGGGUCCCACAGAUGCAGGGAGAGAGAGAGCUGUGUCGCUCGGUUUUAACCACAAGCGAGGCGGCCUGGAGAGUGUGCAACAGCUGCAGUGAACUCGGCGGCCCUGCGCUGGAGGGGCUCAGUCAACACCAGGAGAAAUCCGCUGCAAUCUUCCCUGCAGCAGGGACCAGCUCAAGGACUCUGACCAGCGAGGAGAGGAGCUCGCGCCGCAUGACAAUGAGCUCAGUAUUCACUGUGAUCAAAGCGCUGUCGCGGUCGAUUCGCCUGCUCGUUUCCCAGCUUUCGCCUUUGGCAAAGAGGCAGAACGGCAGAAAAUCCGAGACCCUUUUCUUUUUUGACAGCCGCUGACGGCUGCGAGAUUUCACUUCCGGGGUCAAAGGCUGAGGUGGGGCGACAUCCUCUUGUUUCAUUCCGAAAAAAUGUAAACGAAUGACUUCUUCACCCAAAAAAACCCAACACACAUGGGCCGGCACCGAUCCGAGAGGCUUGACCGUUGUGCCGGCUUCCCCAGCGCCGUUCCGGCUGGGAUUAAGCAGCUCUGGAAUGCGCGGGCUCGCGGCGCGGAUCAUGAGAGAGAUCACGAGGGGCCUGACGAGAGCGCGGCUCCGUGAAGGAGCUCUGCGGGACAGGAAAGCGCUGUGCCCUUGAUACAGUCAGUUCCCAGGCCGCCAGCUCUCCCCCGCGCAGCGCAAACACCGCGUUCCCCAGAUAAGAUAGCGGGCGGAUUGUGCUUGCUCCGACAGAUCUUGGCCAAAACAACCUUUUUGUUUAUUCUGUUCGUUUUUUUCCCGGCCCCUCCCCGGAGGGAGGCCGUGCUGUAGAAAGGCUCCUGGCGGGCCGUCUCUCAGGGAGCCCUGGGCACAGGUGGGCAGCGGUGUGGCCCAGAUCGCCUGGAGGGCAGUGUGGACUGCGGAGAGGAACGCUGUUCCUACUGUGGAUAAAGCCCAGUCCCUCAUUCAGGAUCCCAGCCAUCCCGGACACAAACUGUUCUGCCCCCUGUGCCCUGGCGAGCUCUACCACACUGUUCAAGCACAGACCCCCAGACUGGAGAACAGUUCCUCCCCUCCUGCAGCAUCCAUCGUACACAGUGGACUGCAGAGCCUCUGUGCACCUCUGCACUUCUAGCUUGGACUGCCAGGUUUGUUUUUUUAAUUGUUCUGGUUGUUAUCAUUCAUGGCGUUUGUACUGCACUGCCUAGAUUGGGCGGUGUUGUCUGUCGCACUGUGUCGUCUGUCCUGAGAGAUCGGCGCGAAUAAGGCUUCCAAUACGAACACAUACAUGUGGCAGUGAACCCCACUGCUCCACUGCUCUACUCUACAGGGGCACAGGUACUCCAGCUUCGUCAACACCCAGUGAUUCUGCCGAUCCUUGGAUCUCGGACAGAGGGGGGGCUUGGGGGCCUGGUUUCCUGCUGCGGGACCGCCCUGUCCGUCCAGCGCCAUGCUGAAGCCCCGACGGGGUCCGAGAGAGAAGGACAGGCAGGGAGGGACAGGAGAAGAAGAAGAGAAGGACAGCAUGAGCCGGAACGAGACAGAGCAAGAGAAUCAGGGGGGCCGUCCAGGAGAGAGCAGGGAGCUGUGGCUCUGUGCGCACAUAGCGGGACAGAGGGUGCAGGAUCUGCACACAGGAAGGCGCGGAGACGGGGGGCCCGGCGCACGCCGCGGAGGAGAGCGCGGGCACGACGGCGCGAACGCGCCCCGCGCCCCCCAGACGGCCCUCGCCCCCGGCAGGGUCUGCGCCGGGGCGCGCGGAGGCGUCCGCUUCGCAGACCUGACCUACAUCUUUCUGCCCGAGCGAGCAGGGAGCCGCGCGGCUGAGGAGGGGGGAAACCAGGCAAGACGGGCAACAGCAGGCAACACCGGCGCCGCAUGGCAACAGCGUGGAAAAUCCCCUCUAAAAAUAGCCCCACAGCUGGCCAAGACGGUGCAGCCAAUAGCCUCUCAGAGAUAUGAGACGUGUGGGUCGUCCAGCCAGCCCACAGGCACACACUGCGCUGUCACCCGCAGCCUGCCGGGGGUGCCGUCGGAGCACAAGGCCAUCCGUGAUGACGGCGGGCACCUGGAAUCGGAGCCAGUCGGUGGAACAGCUCUGCUCCCGUGCUCCCUGCUCCAGGAUUGGGAACUAGGCUGCUGCAGCACGGAGAGAUGGGAAACCGAGCAGAGGAGCUCCAGCAGGCGCCUGCGGCUGGAACCUCUUCCUCCCCUGCUCUUUGUCCUGCACUUGUGGGUUUGCCUGAGCCUCUCAUCUGGGGCUGGGGCGGUUUUACCAGUGGGACACGGCCCCCCCCACACCGCCAGCUCCGGGGCGAGAGGACCGACACAGACCUGCGGCUCGCCCGCUCCACGUGCAACAGCUGCUCAGGGUGGAUACCCUGGUACCUGCUCAGGGUGCCCCAGCUAUCUGCCCGCUGAGGAAGACGGAGUGGGAUGAGGAGGGCAGCAGCUCUGAUUGGCACCUCACUGCACCUGUGCUGCCAUGGCGAUGACACGGCUGCGGUUAUUAAGCGAGCGGAGGAGUCCUGCAGCGGGUCACUGGGACAGCCCAGGAAAACACCGAGGAAAGGUUACUGCGCGAACAGACGCCAGCACAUUUUUUUCUCUCCCGGGAAGACGAG